UACAGAGGUCCCAAGCGUUGUUCGGAUUCACUGGGCGUAAAGGGUGCGUAGGUGGCUUGGUAAGUUUGAUGUGAAAUCUCCGGGCUUAACCCGGAAAUGGCAUUGAAUACUAUUGAGCUGGAGGUUUGGAGGGGGGACUGGAAUUCUCGGUGUAGCAGUGAAAUGCGUAGAUAUCGGGAGGAACACCAGUGGCGAAGGCGGUUGCCUGGAGCUUUGCUGACGCUGAGGCGCGAAAGCGUGGGGAGCGAUCCGG
rnacentral:rRNA from 1 species